rnacentral:rRNA from 1 species
UAUUGGGCAAUGGACGCAAGUCUGACCCAGCCAUGCCGCGUGGAGGAUGAAGGUCCUCUGGAUUGUAAACUUCUUUUAUCUGAGAAGAAAACCAGGAAUUCUUUCCUGGCUGACGGUACCAGAUGAAUAAGCACCGGCUAACUCCGUGCCAGCAGCCGCGGUAAUACGGAGGGUGCAAGCGUUAUCCGGAUUCACUGGGUUUAAAGGGUGCGUAGGUGGGUUGGUAAGUCCGUGGUGAAAUCCCCAAGCUUAACUUGGGAACUGCCGUGGAUACUAUCAAUCUUGAAUAUCGUGGAGGUAAGCGGAAUAUGUCAUGUAGCGGUGAAAUGCUUAGAUAUGACAUAGAACACCGAUAGCGGAGGCAGCUUGCUACACGAUCAUUGACACUGAGGCACGAAAGCGUGGGGAGCAAACAGG